UCUGAUCCUAGAGGCAUCACAGGUGUGGUUGCUGUAUCACAGGUGUGCCAGCAGGUGGCAGAGAGGAGAGCCUUUGUCUAACUACACUUGGUGUUCUGACCUAUGGACAUUUGAAUAUUUAGUAGUCUAACAAA